UUUUAUGAGAGUUUGAUCCUGGCUCAGGACGAACGCUGGCGGCGUGCCUAAUACAUGCAAGUCGAACGCACUUUCUUUCACCGUAGCUUGCUACACCGAAAGAAAGUGAGUGGCGAACGGGUGAGUAACACGUGGGUAACCUGCCCAUCAGCGGGGGAUAACACUUGGAAACAGGUGCUAAUACCGCAUAAUAUUACUUUUCGCAUGAGAAGUAAUUGAAAGGCGCAACUGCGUCACUGAUGGAUGGACCCGCGGUGCAUUAGCUAGUUGGUGAGGUAACGGCUCACCAAGGCA
rfam:Enterococcus columbae DSM 7374 = ATCC 51263 genomic scaffold acyDG-supercont2.6, whole genome shotgun sequence.